rnacentral:lncRNA from 1 species
GGGCAAGUUUUUGUCCUUUAAAGAGGUUUUGCAUUUACUUAGAGAGCUUUCAUUCCUGUUAAAUUGCCUUACUUACUAACAUGUUAAAUUGCCUUACUACUGUCUGAAAUGUUAGCGUGGCGGAAGUACAGCCUCACACACCUGUUCAGGUGGAUGUUAAUGGGAUGCUGUGGGAACAUAAACUGAGACCCUAGAUGGUUAUAUUUUUACAUUAGCUGCAAAUAUUUUUGUUUGUUUGUUUCUUGUAAUCCAGGCUGGCUUCAAACUUGAGUCCGUCCUGUGCACCACCAUGCCUGGCUCUUAGCGGCAAAUAUAGUAACAAACAUUUUCCAGGACACAGUUUCCCUGCUUGGAAGUCCUGGCUGAUGACGAAAUUCUCAGGCUGGAGGGUGACAAGGGUCUACAGGACAGGCAUGGACUCCCGGCUUCUCAGAAAGGUGGCUGGCAGUGACAGCAGCCUGGGGGAAGGACGGGGCAUUCGUGAGACCUCAAGCCAUCUCCCAGAGGAUGCCAGCUUGGAGACCAAGGUGGGGAGGAGAGUUCUGGGAGAGAAGGUGAGGGGUGUGAUCUGGGGAGGAGAGAAUCCAGGAGGAGGUGGAGGGCAGUUUUUUGUAGCAUUAUGAAUAUGUAAUGAUUAUAAAUUGUAACAGGUGCUGUGUAGUGGUUUCCUCCACUAAACUGGGCAUAUUUACUUACAUCUCUUGGGCUUUGGUGGUUCUUAGAGGGAUGGUGUUGCCACUGAGAGGGCUUUGGUAGUGUGCACAGGAGCAUUUGGGGUCGUGGUGUCUGGCAGAGUGGGGGUCAAGCCCAGCCCAGGGGUAAUAAAUCUGCAGUGUCUGGGACAGCUCCAGGUGAAAAGGAAUUACCCAGGGCCUGGGAUGUGGCUCAGCAGUGCUUCACCUGCCUGGCAAGCACAAGGUCCUGAGUUCAAUUCCUGGUACCAAAACAAAAACAAAAAACAAGAGUAAGAAUUAACCAGCCCCAAGCCCAGCAAGGGCCUCCUUCCACUAAGCAGCACCUGUUGGGAGAUGCCUUCUCUCUCUCUUGCCUUCCUUUCUGUAGGGCUCCAGCUGGGGCCCAAGAACCGAGGAACUUUUGCUGUGCACCCAGGCUUUUGAAAUCUGCAGACUCUGACUCCUUAGAUGCUGUGUGGCCAGAGAGGAAUGGAAGAUGGCUGAUGUGUAAGUAGACCAGUAAGACUGGAAUAUAGAAAUCACUUAGACUAACUCCUUCAUUCUACAGAUUCGGAAACUCAGGUUCAGAGAAACUCCAUGGUUUCCUCAGUGUCAGGCAGCUGAGGAGUGGGAGAGUCAAUGGAACGAGAGUAUGUAAUAUAAUUCUCAAUUUUUUUCCUCCAGGAGUUCCUGAAAUUCACAAAAUUUGCAUGCAUUAAUGAAAACAUUUUAUGAGUCUUUUAAAUGAUUUUCACAUUUUGGCUUAUCAACAAUGUGCUACAGACUUUUCCUCACUAGUAGGCAUUCUGCAGAAAGUGUGUUAGGUGCA